AACAACGCCAAAUAUUUUACUGUCAGUAGAGAGUGCAUUUGCAGUUUAUACGUAUUUUUCUGGGAUUUAUUAUUGCAAUCAACAAAUGAAGAAGGGAUUGUGAAAUUAUAUAGAUAUUGGUAUCAUUACAAAACUGAAAGUAGAAAAGCAUAACAAGGAAGUUAUCAAAAAAUUAGCAAAAGCAGCUAAUUCAAGCUGACAACUAACAAAAAGUCGAACAGCCGAUGUUUCCAAGUGCUUCUUGGCGUGGCUAAGGUUACGUUAGAUUUGGAACUAUUUGCCCUCAACAUUUAUACGAGCACCAACAAUAUAAAAAAUGCCACUUUUAUAUAGUGUAAUAUCCCGAGGUAGCACAGUGCUGGCCAAAUAUGCAGAGUGUGUGGGCAAUUUUGCGGAAGUCACGGAGCAAAUAAUUUCAAAGAUAGCGGUAGAGAAUCACAAGUUAACUUAUUCACAUGGUGAAUACUUAAUACAUUACAUAUGUGAGAACCGCAUCAUCUAUAUGUGCAUUACAGACAACGAAUUUGAUCGCACGCGCGCCUUCCUUUUUCUUGCGGAUAUCAAACAAAAAUUCAUACAAACAUAUGGACUACAAGUAGCAACAGCUAUUGCUUAUGCAAUGAAUACGGAAUUCUCAAAAGUUCUAGCGGAACAGAUGGCACAUUUUAGUCAAUCGCGCGAGGUGGAUAUGAUUUCCAGAGUUCAUGGUCAAAUUGACGAGUUGAAAGACAUUAUGGUAAAAAAUAUUGACAGUCUUCGGGAUCGCGGCGAAAGGCUGGAAUUGCUUGUAAAUAAAACGGAAAACCUUAGUAAUAACUCUGUUGCAUUCCGCAAAGCUUCUCGAAACUUGGCACGACAAAUGUUCUGGAAAAAGGUGCGCAUCUACGUCGUAGUAGUGCUCAUAAUAAUAUUUGUUGUUUAUGUGAUUAUAAGUAUGUUCUGUGGUGGUCUUGCAUGGCAGGGUUGUGUUGCGAAUUAGAAAAAAAUAUAUAUACUUGAUAAGGUUUUACCCAAAAUCUUUAUCUCUUCGUACAUUUGAAUCUUUCUUGUCUACGACUCGUAUUUUUAUUCAAUAUAUGUAGUUUGUAUUUAAGACAUUUUAUUUUUAAUCUUCAUUUAUGUAUGUAUAUGACACGAAUAUUUAUAAAGUAUAUGCAUUCGAAAAUAUUAUUUUCCCGAUGAAUGGAAGAGAGCGCAUAGCGUUCUAGACGGGUCUUUGCAAUGGUGAAAUGCAUGUAAAGAAAUAAAUAAAAUUCAUCGCUUUAUUUAUU